rnacentral:rRNA from 1 species
GAUGAACGCUGGCGGCAGGCCUAACACAUGCAAGUCGAGGGGUAGAAGGAGCUUGCUCCUCUGAGACCGGCGCACGGGUGCGUAACGCGUAUGCAAUCUACCGUUUACAGGGGAAUAGGCCAGAGAAAUUUGGAUUAAUGCCCCUAAGUAUUAAACCUUCGCACGGUGGUUAUCUUAAAGUUCCAACGGUGCAAGAAGAGCAUGCGUCCUAUUAGUUAGUUGGUAAGGUAGCGGCUCACCAAGACGAUGAUGGGUAGGGGUCCUGAGAGGGAGAUCCCCCACAGUGGGACAGAGGCCCCGACCACCCUCGGACGGAAGGCAGGAGUAAGUACUGAUAGUGGACGGACGCAAGACUGAGCCAGCCAUGCGGCAGGCAGAAAGCCGGUGCUAUGGAUUCUAAUCUGCUUGGAUAGAAGAAGCAUCCCUCAAACGAGUGGGGGCUUGACGGUACUGUAGGAAUAAGCAUCGGCUAACUACGUG